rnacentral:rRNA from 1 species
GACGAACGCUGGCGGCGUGCUUAACACAUGCAAGUCGAACGGAAAGGCCCAGCUUGCUGGGUGCUCGAGUGGCGAACGGGUGAGUAACACGUGGGUGAUCUGCCCCUAACUUCGGGAUAAGCUUGGGAAACUGGGUCUAAUACCGGAUAGGACAAUCGUUUAGUGUCGGUUGUGGAAAGUUUUUUCGGUUAGGGAUGAGCCCGCGGCCUAUCAGCUUGUUGGUGGGGUAAUGGCCUACCAAGGCGUCGACGGGUAGCCGGCCUGAGAGGGUGGACGGCCACAUUGGGACUGAGAUACGGCCCAGACUCCUACGGGAGGCAGCGGUGGGGAAUAUUGCACAAUGGGCGCAAGCCUGAUGCAGCGACGCCGCGUGGGGGAUGACGGCCUUCGGGUUGUAAACCUCUUUCGACAGGGACGAAGCUUUGGUGACGGUACCUGUAGAAGAAGCACCGGCUAACUACGUG